rnacentral:lncRNA from 1 species
AAAAUUUUGUUUCGGCCCCAAAACUUUUGCUGCAUUUACAAAUUGGUCCUUCUGUCAGAAAAUCCCCAAUAAUCAGGCGGAUUUCGUGCACCUGCCCCCACGAUUUCCGGCCGCCGGCUUAGGGCAUGGCCUUCCCCACCUGCUACCUGCAAAAAAGAAGCAAAACCAACUAUAAAAAGGAGUUUAAACUCCAAAAAAAAGACCCCCGCCCCCCCUCCCGGCGAAUCAAAAAAGAAAAAGAAAAAGAAAGUUUCAAAAAAAUUUUCAGCAGCAAAAAGAAAGAGGAGAAAGAGAAAGAGGAAAGAAAGGAAGAGAGGGGAGGAGCGACGACGGUGCAACCAAGGCGUAAAGAAGAAGAAGAAGAAGAAGAAGAAGAAAGAAGAAAGAAGAAGUAAGAAAAAGAGAAAAAGAGAAAAAAAAGAAAAAGGAAAAAGAAAAAUAAUAAAGCAGUCGGGUCGAACCGACCCGACCCAUCCGGCUCAAAACCCGACCCGAGCAGCAGACCCGACCCAGCGAGCCCAUUAGUCAAGCCCAAAGCAGCCCAAAAAAAAUAAAGAAAAAAAACAAAGCAAAAAAAAAAGCAGCAAAAAAAAGGGGGCAGGCCAAC